UACGAAGGGGGCUAGCGUUGUUCGGAAUCACUGGGCGUACAGCGCACGCAGGCGGAUCGAUAAGUCGGGGGUGAAAGCCCGGGGCGCAACCUCGGAAUUGCCUUCGAUACUGUCGGUCUCGAGUCCGGGAGAGGUGAGUGGAAUUCCUAGUGUAGAGGUGAAAUUCGUCGAUAUUAGGAAGAACACCAGUGGCGAAGGCGGCUCACUGGCCCGGUACUGGCGCUCAGGUGCGAAAGCGUGGGGAGCAAACAGG
rnacentral:rRNA from 1 species